rnacentral:rRNA from 1 species
AUUGAACGCUGGCGGCAUGCUUUACACAUGCAAGUCGAACGGGGUGGUGGGGCAACCCGCCAUUCAGUGGCGAACGGGUGAGUAAUGCAUCGGAACGUGUCCCGUAGUGGGGGAUAACCCGGCGAAAGCCGGACUAAUACCGCAUAUGCUCUACGGAGGAAAGCGGGGGACCUGAAAGGGCCUCGCGCUAUGGGAGCGGCCGAUGUCCGAUUAGCUUGUUGGUGGGGUAAUGGCCUACCAAGGCGACGAUCGGUAGCUGGUCUGAGAGGAUGAUCAGCCACACUGGGACUGAGACACGGCCCAGACUCCUACGGGAGGCAGCAGUGGGGAAUUUUGGACAAUGGGGGCAACCCUGAUCCAGCCAUGCCGCGUGCGGGAAGAAGGCCU